rnacentral:rRNA from 1 species
UGGGGAAUUUUCCGCAAUGGGCGAAAGCCUGACGGAGCAAUGCCGCGUGGAGGUGGAAGGCCUACGGGUCGUCAACUUCUUUUCUCAGAGAAGAAACAAUGACGGUAUCUGAGGAAUAAGCAUCGGCUAACUCUGUGCCA